GAAAACCUACAAUGUAGACAUUUAUAUGGCCAUUGAUGGAGUCCAACCAACUCAGACAACCUCUCAUACAGAAAGAACACAAAAUGACCUCUUGUUCUAGACCAAUAGAAAACACACAAGUUGUGUAAGAAGGAAAGCGAACCAAGCAAGGUAAUGCCUGGUGCCACUUCCAGGAUUAGAAAACAGACCAUAUUGUAUAACUGUAACAUAUGCUAUCUCCAUGAUUUAGAGAGAUCGAAUUAGUGAUCAUAGCACACAGAUAAGAAUGAAG
rnacentral:lncRNA from 1 species